rnacentral:rRNA from 1 species
GAUGAACGCUGGCGGCGUGCCUAAUACAUGCAAGUCGAGCGAACAGAUGAGGAGCUUGCUCCUCUGACGUUAGCGGCGGACGGGUGAGUAACACGUGGAUAACCUACCUAUAAGACUGGGAUAACUUCGGGAAACCGGAGCUAAUACCGGAUAAUAUAUUGAACCGCAUGGUUCAAUAGUGAAAGACGGUUUUGCUGUCACUUAUAGAUGGAUCCGCGCCGCAUUAGCUAGUUGGUAAGGUAACGGCUUACCAAGGCAACGAUGCGUAGCCGACCUGAGAGGGUGGUCGGCCACACUGGAGCUGAGACACGGUCCAGACUCCUACGGGAGGCAGCAGUAGGGAAUCUUCCGCAAUGGGCGAAAGCCGGACGGAGCAACGCCGCGUGAGUGAUGAAGGUCUUCGGAUCGUAAAACUCUGUUAUUAGGGAAGAACAAAUGUGUAAGUAACUAUGCACGUCUUGACGGUACCUAAUCAGAAAGCCACGGCUAACUACGUG